UUUGCCCUUGCAGACACCACAGCACUCCUGCCAUGGAGCCGGACCUGCGUCCCAGCAGUUGAUGGCUCUUACAUCUCGCGCUGCACCUCCUGAUGCAGUUUCUGCUGGUUGCCUUCAUGGCUCUACAAAAGGAGGACCCCAACUCAUAGCGGGGCAUCUCCACCAUCCUCUGCACACCUUGCAUCGCCUCUUCUGCUGUCGGGACACCAGUUCUGAUUGGUGGGACCAGAUCAUCAUGGAGCAGUGAGACGACCAGGAGUAGCUCCAGAAUUUCCGUAGGCACAAGGACACCUUCCUGGAGCUGAGAGUGCCUCACCCCUGCCCUCAGGUGGUGAGGACCAUCAACAUCAUCCUACUGAGAGGCUCAUCAUCCUGGGUGAGGGCGACCCCAUCAUCACUGGCUUUGCCAUCAUGGACUUCCCCUACUGCGGGGGGUCAUUGAUGGCACCCACAUCCCCAUCUGAACCCCCGAUCACCAGGCAUCUGAAUACAUCAACCAGAAGGGGUACUUCUCUGUGGUACUGCAGGCCCUUGUGGACCACUGAGGUCACUUCACUGACAUCUAAGGGAGGUCGGGUAUGUUACUGGUUCCUGUCACACCUGUUCCUCAUGGUUCUUCCUGCAUGUGGCAAGUAGCCAUGGUACUGUUCAUUGGGCUUGUCUAUACUACGGAGAAGAUCAAAGUUGCCACAGUCGAUCUUCUGGGGUUUGAAUGAUCAGGUCUAGUGAAGAUCUGCUAAUUCAAACUGAGAGGUGCUCCCAUCGGUGCCAGUAGUGUUGCUCCUCAUGAGGAGCAAGGGAAGUCAACCUCCUGCUGUGUGGACAGCGCCAAAACACAAU